AUUGAACGCUGGCGGCAGGCCUAACACAUGCAAGUCGAGCGGAUGAAGGGAGCUUGCUCCUGGAUCCAGCGGCGGACGGGUGAGUAAUGCCUAGGAAUCUGCCUGGUAGUGGGGGAUAACGUCCGGAAACGGGCGCUAAUACCGCAUACGUCCUGAGGGAGAAAGUGGGGGAUCUUCGGACCUCACGCUAUCAGAUGAGCCUAGGUCGGAUUAGCUAGUUGGUGGGGUAAAGGCCUACCAAGGCGACGAUCCGUAACUGGUCUGAGAGGAUGACCAGUCACACUGGAACUGAGACACGGUCCAGACUCCUACGGGAGGCAGCAGUGGGGAAUAUUGGACAAUGGGCGAAAGCCUGAUCCAGCCAUGCCGCGUGUGUGAAGAAGGUCUUCGGAUUGUAAAGCACUUUAAGUUGGGAGGAAGGGCAGUAAGUUAAUACCUUGCUGUUUUGACGUUACCAACAGAAUAAGCACCGGCUAACUUCGUG
rnacentral:rRNA from 1 species